rnacentral:RNase_P_RNA from 1 species
GAAGUUGGACAGACAGUCGCCGCGUGCUUGCACGGGGAGGAAAGUCCGGGCUCCGCAGGGCAGGAUGCUGGCUAACGGCCAGGCGCCGCGAGGCGACGGAAAGUGGAACAGAGAGCUGAACCGCCGAUGGCCGCAGUAACCGCAAGGGUGCUGUAGCACAGGCAAGGGUGAAAAGGUGCGGUAAGAGCGCACCGCGGACGCAGUAAUGCGCACGGCAGGCUAAACCCCAUCCGGAGCAAGACCAAAUAGGGGUACAUUGGCGUGGCCCGCGCUGUACCCGGGUAGGUUGCUUGAGCUUGUCGGUAACGGCAAGACUAGAGGAAUGACUGUCCAACGACAAAACCCGGCUUAUCGGCCAACUUCCCGC